rnacentral:tRNA from 1 species
GUGGUUGUGGCUCAGCGGUAGAGGGCUUGCCUGUCAUGUAUGCGGCCCUGGGUUUGAUCCUCAGUACCACA